rnacentral:rRNA from 1 species
AUUGAACGCUAGCGGGAUGCCUUACACAUGCAAGUCGAACGAGUGGCGAACGGGUGCGUAACAUAUCGGAACGUACCGAGUAAUGGGGGAUAACUAAUCGAAAGAUUAGCUAAUACCGCGUAUUAUUCGAGCGGCCGAUAUCUGAUUAGCUAGUUGGUGGGGGAAAGGCCUACCAAGGCGACGAUCAGUAGCGGGUCUGAGAGGAUGAUCCGCCACAUGGGGACUGAGACACGGCCCAGACUCGUACGGGAGGCAGCAGUGGGGAAUGUUGGACAAUGGGCGCAAGCCUGAUCCAGCCAUGCCGCGUGUCUGAAGAAGGCCUUCGGGUUGUAAAGGACUUUUGUCAGGGAAGCGGUACCUGAAGAAUAAGCACCGGCUAACUACGUGCCAGCAGCCGCGGUAAUUC